AUUGAACGCUGGCGGCAUGCCUUACACAUGCAAGUCGAACGGCAGCACGGGUGCUUGCACCUGGUGGCGAGUGGCGAACGGGUGAGUAAUACAUCGGAACAUGUCCUGUAGUGGGGGAUAGCCCGGCGAAAGCCGGAUUAAUACCGCAUACGAUCUACGGAUGAAAGCGGGGGACCUUCGGGCCUCGCGCUAUCGGGUUGGCCGAUGGCUGAUUAGCUAGUUGGUGGGGUAAAGGCCUACCAAGGCGACGAUCAGUAGCUGGUCUGAGAGGACGACCAGCCACACUGGGACUGAGACACGGCCCAGACUCCUACGGGAGGCAGUAGUGGGGAAUUUUGGACAAUGGGCGAAAGCCUGAUCCAGCAAUGCCGCGUGUGUGAAGAAGGCCUUCGGGUUGUAAAGCACUUUUGUCCGGAAAGAAAUCCUUGGCCCUAAUACGGUCGGGGGAUGACGGUACCGGAAGAAUAAGCACCGGCUAACUACGUG
rnacentral:rRNA from 1 species